UACGUAGGGUGCGAGCGUUGUCCGGAAUUACUGGGCGUAAAGAGCUCGUAGGUGGUUUGUCGCGUUGUUCGUGAAAACUCACAGCUUAACUGUGGGCGUGCGGGCGGAUGCGGGCAGACUGGAGUACUGCAGGGGAGGACUGGAAUUCCUGGUGUAGCGGUGGAAUGCGCAGAUAUCAGGAGGAACACCGGUGGCGAAGGCGGGUCUCUGGGCAGUAACUGACGCU
rnacentral:rRNA from 1 species